rnacentral:lncRNA from 1 species
AAAACAAAUCUUCUAGGUGAAUCUCAAAACGUUCGUUCAGACUAGUUCGGGGAAGUUUUUCUUCGCUGAUGUUAAGUCAGGGGAACUGUCACUUCUGUACCCUGGCAUUUCUUACAGCUGGGCAUAAGCAGUCACUCCCGCCGCUCCCAGCCGCCCGGGCUCCCGACCGUCUCUUAUAACUUCCAGUCAUGUGCUUGAUGUCUGCGGAAAAGAGAAAGUAGGACCAGAAAUUCAAGUCAGCUCUGCUCCAUACUAUCUAAUCGCCCAGUCAAGGCGAUUUCGUAUGUUAAGCAACAUCAACGAGUUGCAUGACGCACUUUCUCCUCGGUCAGGAAAAGCUCCGUACCCAUCGCAACAUCCUGUUUUGUUUUUUUCUGAUGCACCUCUUCAGGGUGAGAGCAAAAGCCCAGAUGGGAACAAGCAGUCAGAAAGCCACAAGUCUGAUCCAGCCCCAGAAGUCUGAUCCUGCCUCUCUCCUGUUCUACCUGCAAACCUAGGAAAAGGAGAAGAGGCAUGUGGUCUCAAUGUCUGUGAUCUUCCUCCUGGAACGGCGUUUCUUGGCUCAGGUGUCUCUGGACAGGCACUGAAGUAUCCUCUGUCCUUUUAUGUGGUUUGUAAUGCUUGGGAAAUGGUACUGGAGGCAAAGGUGAGCGUCCAGAGCAACUUGGUCUUUUUGUUUUCUUUUAAAUGCAAUAUUGGUGAAUA